rnacentral:rRNA from 1 species
AUUGAACGCUGGCGGCAGGCCUAACACAUGCAAGUCGAACGGUAACAGGAAGCAGCUUGCUUCUUUGCUGACGAGUGGCGGACGGGUGAGUAAUGUCUGGGCAACUGCCUGAUGGAGGGGGAUAACUACUGGAAACGGUUGCUAAUACCGCAUAACGUCGCAAGACCGAAGAGGGGGACAUUCUGGCCUCUUGCCAUCGUAUGUGCCCAGAUGGGAUUAGUGUGUAGGUGGGGUAACGGCUCACCUAGGCGGCGAUCCCUAGCUGAUCUGAGAGGUUGACCAGCCGCACUGGAACUGGGACACGGUCCAGACUACUACGGGAGGCAGCAGUGGGGAAUAUUGCACAAUGGGCGCAAGCCUGAUGCAGCCAUGCCGCGUGUAUGAAGAAGGCCUUCGGGUUGUAAAGUACUUUCAGCGGGGAGGAAGGGCUUUAAGUUAAUACCUUUGCUCAUUGACGUUACCCGCGGAAGAAGCACCGGCUAACUCCGUG